GCUGCAAUGAUUUUCAACAGACCGCAGAAUUAUAUUCCCGUAUAGCUGCCAUUGGUUUUGUUUGUAAAAAUAAACAACUGGUUCGGUGAAACCAGAAUGUUUAAGUUAUGUGCUUUUUCCAAUUACUUCUUGUGCUGAAAAUCCAGGUUCUCAACAGUUUUCUUGGCGGAAAAAUGUGGAAGCGAAGUCCACUUAGCUGCAAAACAAUUUCAUUGAGGUGUGAUAUUCGUCAGAACAAUAUUCUUUUGGAUGCAACUUCCCGGACGACCAAACAAAGACAAACUGACUAUUUUGCCCAUAAAUUUUAUAUAAAUUAAACUAAACAUAACAUUUGUAUGAAAUAAAUAAUCAAAAUGUAACAAACACUUGUUUUUAUUUUUCGUGGGAGUAAUUUUCAUCUGCUUUCCUUCCAG